UUCUUCGGAACUAGAGACCGGCGCACGGGUGCGUAACGCGUAUGCAAUCUACCUUUUACAGAGGGAUAGCCCAGAGAAAUUUGGAUUAAUACCUCAUAGUAUUAUGAAAUGGCAUCAUUUUAUAAUUAAAGUCACAACGGUAAAAGAUGAGCAUGCGUCCCAUUAGCUAGUUGGUAAGGUAACGGCUUACCAAGGCUACGAUGGGUAGGGGUCCUGAGAGGGAGAUCCCCCACACUGGUACUGAGACACGGACCAGACUCCUACGGGAGGCAGCAGUGAGGAAUAUUGGACAAUGGGCGCAAGCCUGAUCCAGCCAUGCCGCGUGCAGGAUGACGGUCCUAUGGAUUGUAAACUGCUUUUAUACGAGAAGAAACACUGCUUCGUGAAGCAGCUUGACGGUAUCGUAAGAAUAAGGAUCGGCUAACUCCGUGCCAGCAGCCGCGGUAAUACGGAGGAUCCAAGCGUUAUCCGGAAUCAUUGGGUUUAAAGGGUCCGUAGGCGGUUUAAUAAGUCAGUGGUGAAAGCCCAUCGCUCAACGGUGGAACGGCCAUUGAUACUGUUAGACUUGAAUUAUUAGGAAGUAACUAGAAUAUGUAGUGUAGCGGUGAAAUGCUUAGAGAUUACAUGGAAUACCAAUUGCGAAGGCAGGUUACUACUAAUGGAUUGACGCUGAUGGACGAAAGCGUGGGUAGCGAACAGGAUUAGAUACCCUGGUAGUCCACGCCGUAAACGAUGGAUACUAGCUGUUGGAAGCAAUUUCAGUGGCUAAGCGAAAGUGAUAAGUAUCCCACCUGG
rnacentral:rRNA from 1 species